rnacentral:misc_RNA from 1 species
CCGAGCGAGGGCCCUGGCCCGACCUCCAACCCUUUGUUGACCCAACACCAGUUGCCUCGGGGGCGACCCGGACGCCGACGGCGUCGGGCCUCCCGACGGACCCCUCCAACUCUGUGUCCAUACGUCGGAGUGAACAGCGAAUCAAUCA